CCUACGGGAGGCAGCAGUGAGGAAUAUUGGUCAAUGGACGAGAGUCUGAACCAGCCAAGUAGCGUGAAGGAUGACUGCCCUAUGGGUUGUAAACUUCUUUUAUAAAGGAAUAAAACGAGGCACGUGUGCCUUUUUGCAUGUACUUUAUGAAUAAGGAUCGGCUAACUCCGUGCCAGAAGCCGCGGUAAUACGGAGGAUCCGAGCGUUAUCCGGAUUUAUUGGGGUUAAAGGUAGAGUAGAUGGGUUGGUAAGGCAGUUGUGAAAGUUUGCGGCUCAACCGUAAAAUUGCAAUUGAUACUGGCAGUCUUGAGUACAGUUGGGGAAGGCGGAAUUCGUGGUGUAGCGGUGAAAUGCGUAGAUAUAACGAAGAACCCCGAUGGCGAAGGCAGCUUACUAAACUGUGACUGACAUUGAUGCUCGAAAGUGUGGGUAUCAAACAGGAUUAGAUACCCCAGUAGUC
rnacentral:rRNA from 1 species